GGGUGCGAUCAUACCAGCACUAAUCCUUCGGAUCCCAUCAGAACUCCACAGUUAAGCGUGCUUGGGCGAGAGUAGUACUAGGAUGGGUGACCUUCUGGGAAGUCCUCGUAUUGCACCCG
rnacentral:rRNA from 1 species